CCAAUGUUGUUUAAGUUCAUGAAUUAGGGCAUAAUUUCAUUCAGCCAUGGAAAUUGAGCAUGGAAAAAAAAAUCUGGUGUGGGAUAUAUGAAGCUGAAAAUUUAGUUUGAAGUGUGGUAAUUGUGUUAAAGAUGAACAUUAAACCUUAAAGCAUGAUUUAGUUUAACCAAGGGAGAACUUGUAUAUUUGUAGGAGGGCAUGUUUGAACGUGUAUUGAUAAUUGAUUUUGAAGGUUCGGCUUUAUGCCUUGAUAGUUGGUUUGAAGAUAUGAUGCCUUGGUAUAAAUAUAUGUGCAUUCGGU
rnacentral:lncRNA from 1 species